rnacentral:lncRNA from 1 species
CAACAGCAACGGCUGGUUUAGCUCCAUGGGAGCAAUGCGUCAGCCCCAAGGCUCACCGCCCACAGGAGUGCCUGCUUCCUCGUAGGGACAUAGAAGCGCCUUUUUCAUAUGUUGGUUGGUUUAUGGUUUGUUCAUUUCCUGUUGUAAGAGGGAAGGAUUCAUAAACGACAACCAGCCCCUGAACUCUGCCUUCUGAAUCCCAAUUCCCAAGCCAACUUGGAGAACGUCCAGCGUCUCUUCUAAUCAAGAACUAUGUGACAUCUCCUAUUUUGAAGAAACUUUGUUAAGUUGAUCAGAUGAUUUACAUGUGAUCACAGAUGUUACAAAAUCUAAAUGCCCCGCCUGGGUCGCCCAGGUUCUUGAAGGACUUCUGAAAAAGCCCCGUGCUCCUUUCCCCCGUGAUCCUGCUCACAUCCUCCCUCCCCACCAGCCCAGUGAGAAAACUCCAUCCCCCCUUCAACUUGACCGACACUUCAGGGGGCUUGGAGAGGUGCCACAGCCGGGAGAGCUCUCUGCACACUUCACAUUAUCAUCAGCGCUCUGCUCACAAGAUUCCCGCCUCACAAGGCUAAAUGUCUCUUGACUCCUAUUGAACCCUGGUGAUGGCAUUUCUGGUCAACACCCAGAGGAGAGAGAGGGACAUAAACUAUCCAGCCUUCGGAGCCAAGGAAAGUGUGAAGAGAUCAGUACCCAGUUUUGGGAAAUGACACCAACAUGGUCCCCAAACCUAGUCUAGACUUCGGAGAAGGGAGAAUCAGAGAAAGUUUCGCAGAGGAGGUGAAAUUUGAAUUGGACCUGAGAAAUAAGGAGUCCUCAAGCCUGAAAGCCAAGGAGAAGAAGAUCAGGAAGAGGAAUCAGCUGGAACCGAGGCCUAGCAGCAUUCUAGACACAGCAGGUUCAAGGAUGGUCUGGCGUUUGGUGUGAUUGGAGCUCAGCUGGAGAAAAACAAAGAACAAAAAACCAAUGAGAACUGUGAGGAAGUAUGGGAAGGGUUUCGAGUAGAGGAGUUGUCAGACCCUGUGAGCAAGCUCCCUCUGGCUGCUGCUGGGCAUGGAUUGUGCGAACAGCGGACGAGUGCCUGCUACAAUAACCCAGAGGAGAGACGAGAGGGCCUUGGACCUGAAAGAAGAGCGGAGUCCAUGUCUGGACAGCACGGAGAGCAGAGGCUGCCAAAGAGACAGCCAACAUCUACAUCACAAAAGAGCCAUGGCCAACGGAGAAAGCGGAAAGAAUGCACACUGCCCUGUACUACGUGGAGAAGGAGCCAGCAAGCAGUAUGAGUGCAACAAGUUUAGACCUAUAAAGCAAAUGUGCAAACUGAAACUCAAGGUGUAGUCUGAAGGAGAGACGAAGAGGAGGUAUGCAGGGAAGGAGGGAGACCGGACAUCCAGGCCCUCAGCCGGCAUUUGCCCCAGAAGGAGGGGAAAACUCAUUACCACUCGACAGCUGCUCCAUCGUCUGUAAAAAGUUAAGGGUUCAAACCUCUUGCCAGUGACCAGAUGUCCCCGGCUUCACGUGUUACGGAGUGGUCAGUAAUUGACUCGCAAGUGUGACGACGACAGUUCAUGUGAGAGAAGCUGCAGGAGGCCCAACCACAGGAGAUUGCCUUAUUGAGAAGAGAGAUCAUACAAACACGUGAAAAGAACCCAAGUCUUCAAACACCAAAAGAAAAAAGUGUUCUGGAAAGAAUUCACAACAUCCUCCCCAAACAUGUCUCAAGCAUACCAGUUUUAUUUCAGCCUGUGUUCAGUUUAUUUUUUUUUAAUUUACUGCAUCCUAUUCUGAAAAUUUAUGUAUUCUUUGGCUGUGCGAACACUCAUAAUUGAGCAUACAAGUUCAUUCCAAAAUUUGGCUCCUUUUUGUUCCUAGGAAAAAGAUUUUUUAGAAAGCAAACCACUAUAAUUUAAUAAAAUGGGUCAACGCUUGGCAGGUUGGCAAAGUCUUUAGAAUUCUUGCUAUAGACAGUAAGGCACAAGUAGCCUGUUUCAUUAUUAUAAAAAAAUAAUGAAUAACUUAGCUGCCUAUAAUUCAUAAAAUAUACCACACUAGAGCAAGUUUUAAUUACACUUGCCAUGUACAGUAUACAUUGCCUUUUAAUGGUUUUUUGAGUAAGUACUCAACUUUAAG